rnacentral:rRNA from 1 species
ACUCAAAUGAAUUGACGGGGGCCCGCACAAGCAGCGGAGCGUGUUGCUUAAUUCGAUGCAACGCGAAGAACCUUACCUGGGUUUGACAUGCUCGGAAAAGCCGUAGAGAUACGGUGUCCUUCGGGGCCGAGCACAGGUGGUGCAUGGCUGUCGUCAGCUCGUGUCGUGAGAUGUUGGGUUAAGUCCCGCAACGAGCGCAACCCUUAUUCUAUGUUGCCAGCGCGUAAUGGCGGGGACUCGUAGGAGACUGCCGGGGUCAACUCGGAGGAAGGUGGGGACGACGUCAAGUCAUCAUGCCCCUUAUAUCCAGGGCUGCAAACACGCUACAAUGGCCGGUACAAAGGGCUGCAAGCUCGUGAGAGUAAGCGAAUCCCAUAAAGCCGGUCUCAGUUCGGAUUGAAGGCUGCAACUCGCCUUCAUGAAGCUGGAGUUGCUAGUAAUCCCGGAUCAGCACGCCGGGGUGAAUACGUUCCCGGGCCUUGUACACACCGCCCGU